UACGGAGGGUGCAAGCGUUAUCCGGAUUCACUGGGUUUAAAGGGUGCGUAGGAGGGCAGGUAAGUCAGUGGUGAAAUCCCCGGGCUUAACCUGGGAACUGCAGUCGAGACUGUCUAGCUAGAGUAUGGGAGAGGGAAGUGGAAUUUCAGGUGUAGCGGUGAAAUGCGUAGAUAUCUGAAGGAACAUCAGUGGCGAAAGCGACUUCCUGGACCAAUACUGACGCUCAUGUGCGAAAGCGUGGGGAGCAAACAGG
rnacentral:rRNA from 1 species